rnacentral:misc_RNA from 1 species
GCAGCAGCAAGCAAUAUGAAAGGUGGUGGUCUUAUCCAUGCUCAGUUUGCCGCUGCACAGUCCUCGGGGAAGCCGCAUCUUGUACCUGGGUUCCCUUAUGUUCAUGCUGUUCAGGUGAAGCCAGCGGAGCAGAAACAACCUGCUGCAGAGUAGAAACAUGUCUCCAUUACUUAACAUGGCAAGCCCCAGGCGGGAAGCUAUGGAGAGAGCAAUUAAAGCUGAACAAAAUUUGGGUGAAUGAGGAUUGCAUGCCCUUUGGCAGUGAGAAGAAAUUAGAGAAAUGAUGAAUAUCGACGGAAGCAUGCAUUUCGGAUUAGAACCCAUACUUUUGAGGGAGGAAGUUGAGCCAGUGCGAAUGGUCGUUUGCAAUGUCCAUUGAUCUCCGUAUAUUUGUGUUCAUAACCUGACGAGGUUAAAUCUUCAGCUUUCCAAUUAAGUUCAAUUGGUUUGAUGUGGCAUGAGAACGGAGGACGAAGCAAAGUCAAAAGUUUGACGGAAGUUUUUUAGGGGGAAGAUAAUGGUGAAGAUUGAGGGGAGGGGAAGAGAAAAAGGAUCUACUGCCUUUCUCCUUUUUGGGAUAGCAAUGGAGGAUUUUUCUUUUUCACUUAAUGUUAGAUUUUUCUUUCUUUUUCUGGGGUUCUAAUAUUAUUUUCCAGAAAGAACAGUAGACAAUCUCUUUAGAACAUAUAUAUAUAU